rnacentral:rRNA from 1 species
CAGUCGCCGCGGUAAUACGAAGGGUGCAAGCGUUACUCGGAAUUACUGGGCGUAAAGCGUGUGUAGGUGGUUGUUUAAGUCUGUCGUGAAAGCCCUGGGCUCAACCUGGGAAUUGCGAUGGAUACUGGGCGACUAGAGUGCGGUAGAGGAUAGUGGAAUUUCCGGUGUAGCAGUGAAAUGCGUAGAGAUCGGAAGGAACAUCUGUGGCGAAGGCGACUAUCUGGGCCGACACUGACGCUCAUGCACGAAAGCGUGGGGAGCAAACAGGAUUAGAUACCCCAGUAGUCCCUGUCUCUUAUAC